CAUGUGACGAACAACUCGAUAUAUAUGCACGGUUGCUGUAACAAUGAAUUCGAAGGGGAAGUGACAUGCUGUGAAAUAGAAAACAAACAUUAUUUAAUUGGAAGCACAGUAGAUAUUCUAAUUUGUGUUGGACUUAUGUUUGUAUCUAUCAUGAUUAUUACUGCUCUCUGUUUUGGUCGUGACGACGGGUAUAAUGUUAUUGAAGGAACUAAUGCAAAACAAUCAGGUGAUAAAGUUGUUGUAGGAACUAAUGCAAAAGAAUCAGGUGAUACUAAUACAAAAGACCAUUUUCAUAAUAAAAAAAUAGAUGGAACCAAUGUACAAAACUCUUUUUGCCACCACGGAUGUAUUUGCAGUUGUGGAUGACCAAACAAAGAUUUACUUUAUUAGCUGUUUUGUGUAACAUCAUAAUAAUGUUAUCAAAUCACGAAUAUUUCGAGUAGAAAAAGCAAAUAUUGUUUAAUAAUUACAAUGAUAGAUUAAGACAUACUUUAAAACAUGCAUAUAGAAAAUCGACAACACCAUAGUAUUUAAUAGAUUUAUAUAUUUAUAAUAUGUACUGUAGCAGCAUAGUAAACUUUUAAAAUGACCAUAAAAGGGACUCCAAUGAG